rnacentral:tRNA from 1 species
GGAGAUGUAGCUCAUGGUAGAGCACACAAUUAGCAUUCGUGGGGUUCUGGGUUCAACCCCCUGCACCUGCC